UAAAUGUACACUUCUUGCAAAUUUGCGAAUCAUGGCUUGCUCAAACGAUUGUCUUUGUCAAAGUGUCAAACUUGUCAUUCCACAAACUUGCUGCCUCGACCAAAAUAAGUUGAAUCAAAAGCCUUAUAGCGCUUUCUGAUGGUCGGCCAUUGGACUUCGAAUACUUAGAUAACGAAGUUCCAAACCUUUUCCUGGACAGUUAAGCCCGAGAACAUAUUGAACUAGAGGAGCGAGUGUCUAAGGUCCAGAGUCAUCAGCCAUGUUGUUCUGGUUUUCCAUCCUGUCGGGAUUACUGUAGGUACGAAAUUGGACAAGGAGGAUUUCUGUAACAAGAUCAAGCUUAAGAUAAUCACCGUGAUUGUGGGCUGUCUGUGUGCUCAACAAGGAAGAAAAUUUGUCCAGAAGUGGAAUGGUGGAUUGAGUUCUCUUCGUUCAAGAGUUUUCGUUAUCACGUUAAAAAUGCCCCUGAAGUCUGGAGACCCGAAGGCUGGCCAGUAUCGUCAUCUGGAUGAUUGUACACUAAUUCCAGUCAAGAAUCUUUUCCACUGACAGUAGUACACGCGUGGACUUAACAAAGAAAAAUGUGACAGAUUCAAGGCAUGGCUCGAUCCGGAGAGAUUACUACCAGUAUAGGAAAUAAAAUGAAUUAUUUAUUUGGUCAAAA